AGGAGGUGUCCACAUGGUCUGAUUAACACUCCUAACAACCCCACCACUAGGAGGUGUCCACAUGGUCUGAUAAACACUCCUAACAACCAGACCACUAGGAGGUGUCCACAUGGUCUGAUAAACACUCCUAACAACCCCACCACUAGGAGGUGUCCACAUGGUCUGAUAAACACUCCUAACAACCCCACCACUAGGAGGUGUCCACAUGGUCUGAUAAACACUCCUAACAACCAGACCACUAGGAGGUGUCCACAUGGUCUGAUAAACACUCCUAACAACCCCACCACUAGGAGGUGUCCACAUGGUCUGAUUAACACUCCUAACAACCCCACCACUAGGAGGUGUCCACAUGGUCUGAUAAACACUCCUAACAACCAGACCACUAGGAGGUGUCCACAUGGUCUGAUAAACACUCCUAACAACCCCACCACUAGGAGGUGUCCACAUGGUCUGAUAAACACUCCUAACAACCCCACCACUAGGAGGUGUCCACAUGGUCUGAUAAACACUCCUACAACCCCACCACUAGGAGGUGUCCACAUGGUCUGAUAAACACUCCUACAACCCCACCACUAGGAGGUGUCCACAUGGUCUGAUAAACACUCCUAACAACCAGACCACUAGGAGGUGUCCACAUGGUCUGAUAAACACUCCUAACAACCCCACCACUAGGAGGUGUCCACAUGGUCUG